GAAAAGAAAGACAUUCUUGAUUUUGGUGACUAGAGUUGUAGAUGCUGGAAAGCUUUGCCACUAAAACUGACAAACCAGAUGCUCGUCACUGGCCAAUCACGCUGAUUCUUAAUGCCAUAAGGCACCAUGGCCCAGCACUGUCACCUUUUCCAAGGAACCUGCUGGAGCUCCUGUGGAAGCUGCUCCUUGGGCCGAUGAAAUCCCUUAGCUGGUAGGACCUUCUUUAGUCACCACAGGAUGCCUGCCAUUCAUGAACAGGAAGGAGAGGAUGGGCUUUGAAUAAAAAACAGGAUCCGGAAAAUAUUUGUGAGGCCACUUGGACUUCAGUGUGAAAUAAAUAUUUUCUGGCUUUGGGAGGUGUCCCUCUUGGUGGAACACAAACUGUAACACUCACCAUGAGCAUCCGUGGUUUCAUUCUUGAAGUCGGCCAGACCAAGAACCCACCAAUUCUGGACACAGUAGGAGAAAUGUCCAGGUAGGAGCUAGGUGCUGCGGGGCUGGAUGCAGGUAGGAACAGGGUGUGGUAGGAGCAGGGUGACAGCUGGGCCAGGUCCAGGAAGGGGCAGAGUGCGGGUAGGAGCAGGGUGCUGGUGGCGCAGGGCGCAGGUAGAAGCGGGGUGCAGGUUGAGCCAGGAUGCUGACGGGGCAGGGCAGGGUCCUGGCGGGGGGAAGCGUGGGUAGGCGCAGCGUGCGGGUAGGAUCGGGGUGCUGGAGGGGCAUGGGAGGGUAGGACGGGGUGCGGUAAGGGCAGGGUGAUUGCAGGGCGGGGCGCGGGUAGGAUGCGGUGCUGGCAGGGCCAGGUGUGGGUAGGAGCAGGGUGCUGGCGGGGUGGGGUGCGGUUAGGACUGGGCAGUGGGUAGGUGAAGGGUGAUGGCAGGGCAGGGCAGGGCAUUGGUAGGAGCGGGGUGCCAGCAGGAGUAGGGUACAGGACGCGGGUAAGAUCGGAACCUGGUGCAGGAAAGGCCACCAGUAGCCUGGGUCCCAGAACCUCUGCAGGCGCAGCCGCUCCUUUCACCUGGUGUGCCAGCUUGCAGUUUGUGCAUUUGUCCCUUUUGGCUGCACAGAGAAGGCAGGGAAACUGCGUGGGAAUGCAAGGUCGGGAACGGCCGGGGGUGCGA